rnacentral:rRNA from 1 species
AUUGAACGCUGGCGGCGUGCUUUACACAUGCAAGUCGAACGGCAGCACAGACUUCGGUCUGGUGGCGAGUGGCGAACGGGUGAGUAAUACAUCGGAACGUACCUUUUAGUUGGGGAUAACGCAUCGAAAGAUGUGCUGAUACCGAAUAAUCUCUGAGGAGGAAAGGCGGGGAUCGGAAACGACCUGUCGCUGAAAGAGCGGCCGAUGGCCGACUAGCUAGUUGGCGGGGUAAAGGCCGACCAAGGCGAUGAUCGGUAGCUGUUCUGAGAGGAAGAUCAGACACACUGUGACUGAGACACGGCCCAGACUCCUACGGGAGGCAGCAGUGUGGAAUUUUGGACAAUGGGGGCAACCCUGAUCCAGCAACGCCGCGUGAAUGAAGAAGGCCUUAGGGUUGUAAAGUUCUUUUGUCGCAGAGCAAAAUGCUUGUACUAAUACUAUGAGGAGAUGAGAGUAUGCGAAGAAUAAGCACCGGCUAACUACGUGCCAGCAGCCGCCGCAG